rnacentral:rRNA from 1 species
CCUACGGGAGUCAGCAGUCGAGAAUCAUUCACAAUGGGGGAAACCCUGAUGGUGCGACGCCGCGUGGGGGAAUGAAGGUCUUCGGAUUGUAAACCCCUGUCAUGUGGGAGCAAAUUAAAAAGAUAGUACCACAAGAGGAAGAGACGGCUAACUCUGUGCCAGCAGCCGCGGUAAUACAGAGGUAUCAAGAGUUGUUCGGAAUCACUGGGCGUAAGGCGUGCGUAGGCUGUUUCGUAAGUCGUGUGUGAAAGGCGCGGGCUCAACCCGCGGACGGCACAUGAUACUGCGAGACUAGAGUAAUGGAGGGGGAACCGGAAUUCUCGGUGUAGCAGUGAAAUGCGUAGAUAUCGAGAGGAACACUCGUGGCGAAGGCGGGUUCCUGGACAUUAACUGACGCUGAGGCACGAAGGCCAGGGGAGCGAAAGGGAUUAGAUACCCCAGUAGUC